CGAGCGAAGCGGGAUGAGCUCAAAUUUGAAAUCUGGCGUCUUUCAGGCGUCCGAGUUGUAAUCUAUAGAAGCGUUUUCUGUGCUGGACCGUGUCCAAGUCCCUUGGAACAGGGUAUCAAAGAGGGUGACAAUCCCGUACUUGACACGACCACCAGUGCUCUGUGAUACGUUUUCUACGAGUCGAGUUGUUUGGGAAUGCAGCUCAAAAUGGGUGGGUAAAUUCCAUCUAAAGCUAAAUAUUGGCGAGAGACCGAUAGCGAACAAGUACCGUGAGGGAAAGAUGAAAAGCACUUUGGAAAGAGAGUUAAACAGUACGUGAAAUUGUUGAAAGGGAAACGAUUGAAGUCAGUCGUGUCUAUUGGUUUCAGCCGGUUCUGCCGGUGUAUUACCUUUAGACGGGUCAACAUCAGUUUUGGACGGCGGAUAAUAGCAGUUUGAAUGUAUCACCUCCGGGUGUGUUAUAGCUUUCUGUUGCAUACGCUGUCCGAGACUGAGGACUGCAGCUUGCCGCAAGGCCGGGGUUUCGACCCACGUUACGAGCUUAGG
rnacentral:rRNA from 1 species